GCAGUCGAGCGGUGCAGGUCCUUCGGGAUGCUGACGAGCGGCGGACGGGUGAGUAAUGCAUAGGAAUCUGCCCGGUAGUGGGGGAUAACCUGGGGAAACCCAGGCUAAUACCGCAUACGUCCUACGGGAGAAAGGGGGCUUCGGCUCCCGCUAUUGGAUGAGCCUAUGUCGGAUUAGCUAGUUGGUGAGGUAAUGGCUCACCAAGGCAACGAUCCGUAGCUGGUCUGAGAGGAUGAUCAGCCACAUCGGGACUGAGACACGGCCCGAACUCCUACGGGAGGCAGCAGUGGGGAAUAUUGGACAAUGGGGGCAACCCUGAUCCAGCCAUGCCGCGUGUGUGAAGAAGGCCCUCGGGUUGUAAAGCACUUUCAGCGAGGAAGAACGCCUAGCGGUUAAUACCCGCUAGGAAAGACAUCACUCGCAGAAGAAGCACCGGCUAACUCCGUGCCAGCAGCCGCGGUAAUACGGAGGGUGCAAGCGUUAAUCGGAAUUACUGGGCGUAAAGCGCGCGUAGGUGGCUUGAUAAGCCGGUUGUGAAAGCCCCGGGCUCAACCUGGGAACGGCAUCCGGAACUGUCAGGCUAGAGUGCAGGAGAGGAAGGUAGAAUUCCCGGUGUAGCGGUGAAAUGCGUAGAGAUCGGGAGGAAUACCAGUGGCGAAGGCGGCCUUCUGGACUGACACUGACACUGAGGUGCGAAAGCGUGGGUAGCAAACAGGAUUAGAUACCCUGGUAGUCCACGCCGUANACGAUGUCGACCAGCCGUUGGGUGCCUAGCGCACUUUGUGGCGAAGUUAACGCGAUAAGUCGACCGCCUGGGGAGUACGGCCGNCAGGGUAAAACUCAAAUGAAUUGACGGGGGCCCGCACAAGCGGUGGAGCAUGUGGUUUAAUUCGAUGCAACGCGA
rnacentral:rRNA from 1 species